CCUACGGGAGACAGCAGUGAGGAAUAUUGGUCAAUGGCCGGGAGGCUGAACCAGCCAAGUCGCGUGAGGGAAGACGGCCCUACGGGUUGUAAACCUCUUUUGUCAGGGAGCAAGGUGCAGGUCGGGACCUGCUGUGAGAGUACCUGAAGAAAAAGCAUCGGCUAACUCCGUGCCAGCAGCCGCGGUAAUACGGAAGGCCCGAGCGUUAUCCGGAUUCAUUGGGCUUAAAGGGAGCGUAGGCGGGCGUUCAAGUCAGCUGUAAAAUCGCGCGGCUCAACCGCGCCCCGCAGUUGAAACUGGACGCCUUGAGUUCACUACAGGCAGGCGGAAUUCGUGGUGUAGCGGUGAAAUGCAUAGAUAUCACGAGGAACCCCGAUUGCGAAGGCAGCCUGCCGGGGUGCGACUGACGCUGAGGCUCGAAGGUGCGGGUAUCAAACAGGAUUAGAUACCCGUGUAGUC
rnacentral:rRNA from 1 species